GGAUCCCAUCAGAACUCCGCAGUUAAGCGUGCUUGGCGAGAGUAGUACUAGGAUAGGUGACCUCCUGGGAAGUCCUCGUGUUGCACCU
rnacentral:rRNA from 1 species